rnacentral:misc_RNA from 1 species
GAUGAAGAACGUAGCGAAAUGCGAUACUUGGUGUGAAUUGCAGAAUCCCGUGAAUCAUCGAGUCUUUGAACGCACAUUGCGCCCCCUGGUAUUCCGGGGGGCAUGCCUGUCCGAGCGUCAUUGCUGCCCUCAAGCACGGCUUGUGUGUUGGGCCCCGUCCUCCGAUCCCGGGGGACGGGCCCGAAAGGCAGCGGCGGCACCGCGUCCGGUCCUCGAGCGUAUGGGGCUUUGUCACCCGCUCUGUAGGCCCGGCCGGCGCUUGCCGAUCAACCCAAAUUUUUAUCCAGGUUGACCUCGGAUCAGGUAGGGAUACCCGCUGAACUUAAGCAUAUCAAUAAGCGGAGGA